UCGAAAUACAAGAUUUAUUUAAAUAAACAGUACCAAGCAGAUACGAGCACGCGAUCCAUUUUACAGUUACAGAAUCACCGAGACAUAGAAAAUACAUCAUUAAUCCUACACUACAUUAUUAUUAUUAUUUUUAUCUUCCACUACUUUGCUCCCCACUACUUUGCCUACCACUAUAUUUUGCCCACCACUAUACUUUGCCAAUCCUCUAUUAAUCAUCAUCUCCACCAUCCUGCAAUUAUCGAAGAGCAGCCCCUGCCUGUUUCUGCCAAAGUUCCCAGGUCAUUCACUCUCUGCCGAAAGUUCCAAGAGCUUUGGCACGUUGAUUCACUAGCUCAACCACAAUAGCCAAC
rnacentral:lncRNA from 1 species